rnacentral:rRNA from 1 species
CUAAGUUUGAUGGCGACCGGCGCACGGGUGAGUAACACGUAUCCAACCUGCCGAUGACUCGGGGAUAGCCUUUCGAAAGAAAGAUUAAUACCCGAUAGCAUAAUGAUUCCGCAUGGUUUCAUUAUUAAAGGAUUCCGGUAAAGGAUGGGGAUGCGUUCCAUUAGGUUGUUGGUGAGGUAACGGCCCACCAAGCCUUCGAUGGAUAGGGGUUCUGAGAGGAAGGUCCCCCACAUUGGAACUGAGACACGGUCCAAACUCCUACGGGAGGCAGCAUG